rnacentral:misc_RNA from 1 species
GAUGAAGAACGCAGCGAAAUGCGAUAAGUAAUGUGAAUUGCAGAAUUCAGUGAAUCAUCGAAUCUUUGAACGCACAUUGCGCCCCCUGGUAUUCCGGGGGGCAUGCCUGUUCGAGCGUCAUUUCACCACUCAAGCCUCGCUUGGUAUUGGGCAACGCGGUCCGCCGCGUGCCUCAAAUCGACCGGCUGGGUCUUCUGUCCCCUAAGCGUUGUGGAAACUAUUCGCUAAAGGGUGUUCGGGAGGCUACGCCGUAAAACCACCCCAUUUCUAAGGUUGACCUCGGAUCAGGUAGGGAUACCCGCUGAACAUAAGCAUAUCAAUAAGCGGAGGA